rnacentral:rRNA from 1 species
AUACGUAGGGGGCUAGCGUUAUCCGGAUUUAUUGGGUUUAAAGGGUGCGUAGGCGGUUUUAUAAGUCAGCGGUGAAAUUUUCCGGCUCAACCGGGAUACUGCCGUUGAUACUGUAAGGCUAGGAUAUGGUUGCUGUGGGUGGAAUGUGUGGUGUAGCGGUGAAAUGCUUAGAGAUCACACAGAAUAUCGAUUGCGAAGGCAGCUCACAAAGCCAUUAUUGACGCUGAGGCACGAAAGUGUGGGGAUC